AAGUAAGUGGCAGAGUGGUCAUGCAGUUAACUUGAAAUUAACUUAUGUGGGUUCAAUUCCCCCCUUUCUUG
rnacentral:tRNA from 1 species